GAUGAACGCUGGCGGCGUGCCUAAUACAUGCAAGUCGAGCGAGCGGCGGACGGGUGAGUAAUGCUUGGGAAUCUAGCUUAUGGAGGGGGAUAACUACGGGAAACUGUAGCUAAUACCGCGUACCAUAGGAUGAGCCCAAGUGGGAUUAGGUAGUUGGUGAGGUAAAGGCUCACCAAGCCGACGAUCUCUAGCUGGUCUGAGAGGAUGACCAGCCACACUGGGACUGAGACACGGCCCAGACUCCUACGGGAGGCAGCAGUGGGGAAUAUUGCGCAAUGGGGGCAACCUGACGCAGCCAUGCCGCGUGAAUGAAGAAGGCCUUCGGGUUGUAAAGUUCUUUCGGUAGCGAGGCGUUAACUACAGAAGAAGCACCGGCUAACUCCGUGCCAGCAGCCGCGGUAAUAC
rnacentral:rRNA from 1 species